UGGUUGAAGUUUAGUAAUUCUUAGUUGUGCCAUAUAAAACUAGUGAUGCCCAAACACGACGUUUGGGCAAGCACUCAGCGACACGACGUCGCAUUGAGUGCGCUCACGUCAGAUGUUAAAAACUAUUUUGGCACAACUUAGAAGUACUUAACUU
rnacentral:ncRNA from 1 species